rnacentral:rRNA from 1 species
CUAGCUGUAAACGAUGGGUACUAGGUGUAGGGGUUUCGAUACCCCUGUGCCGGAGUUAACGCAUUAAGUACCCCGCCUGGGGAGUACGUACGCAAGUAUGAAACUCAAAGGAAUUGACGGGGGCCCGCACAAGCGGUGGAGCAUGUGGUUUAAUUCGAAGCAACGCGAAGAACCUUACCAGGGCUUGACAUCCCUUGACCGCUGUAGAGAUACAGUUUUUCUUCGGAACAAGGAGACAGGUGG